rnacentral:lncRNA from 1 species
GAUUCAUUGUAUGCAUUUGGUCUCUCAGGUGUAUUUCCUAAACCAACAUAAAAAGAAAAUGAUAAGGGCAAGCGCGUGGAGGUGUUUAUGUUUUCAGCUCCAGCCAAUUACUUGAGACCUAAAAUAACAGUUAGUGCAGAUGGAAGGGUGCGGAUUAUGAUGCAGACUACAAUGGAAACCCAAAUCUCCUCUUGCAGAGCGAGCCCGGCACCCAGCUGUCGUCCACUUGCAUUUAGUGUGGCUGCCACCCAGCAAUUAGCACGCCUGGGCUGUCCUUUGGAAAAGGAGCAGAGAAGAACAAUACCACAGCAAGUUCUCCUGGACUCGAAAGCAGGUAGAAAACAGGUGUAGAGUGCCAUGGAGAAUGCAGCUAAAUCAGAAACUUUCUGAAGAAUCAUUUU